rnacentral:rRNA from 1 species
UACGGUGAAUACGUUCCCGGACCUUGCACACACCGCCCGUCAAGCCAUGGAAGCCGGGUGUACCUAAAGUCGGUAACCGUAAGAGCCGCCUAGGGUAAACUGGUGACUGGGGCU